rnacentral:rRNA from 1 species
AACGAACGCUGGCGGCAUGCCUAACACAUGCAAGUCGAACGAGACCUUCGGGUCUAGGGGCGCACGGGUGCGUAACGCGUGGGAACCUGCCCUUAGGUUCGGAAUAACUCCCCGAAAGGGGUGCUAAUACCGGAUAAUGUCUUCGGACCAAAGAUUUAUCGCCUUUGGAUGGGCCCGCGUUGGAUUAGCUAGUUGGUAGGGUAAAAGCCUCCCAAGGCGACGAUCCAUAGCUGGUCUGAGAGGAUGAUCAGCCACACUGGGACUGAGACACGGCCCAGACUCCUACGCGAGGCAGCAGUGGCGAAUAUUGGACCAUGGGCGAAAGCCUGAUCCACCACUGCCGCGUGAGUGAUGAAGGCCUUAGGGUUGUAAAGCGCUUUUAACCGGGAUGAUAAUGACAGUACCGGGAGAAUAAGCCCCGGCUAACUCCGUG